AUUGAACGCUGGCGGCAGGCCUAACACAUGCAAGUCGAGCGGAUGAAGGGAGCUUGCUCCUGGAUUCAGCGGCGGACGGGUGAGUAAUGCCCAGGAAUCUGCCUUGUCUUGGGGGAUAACGUCCGGAAACGGGCGCUAAUACCGCAUACGUCCAGAUGGAGAAAGUGGGGGAUCUUCGGACCUCACGCUAUCAGAUGAGCCUAGGUCGGAUUAGCUAGUUGGUGGGGUAAAGGCCUACCAAGGCGACGAUCCGUAACUGGUCUGAGAGGAUGAUCAGUCACACUGGAACUGAGACACGGUCCAGACUCCUACGGGAGGCAGCAGUGGGGAAUAUUGGGCAAUGGGCGAAAGCCUGAUCCAGCAAUGCCGCGUGUGUGAAGAAGGUCUUCGGAUUGUAAAGCACUGUAAGUUGGGAGGAAGGGCAGUAAGUUAAUCCCUUGCUGUUUUGACGUUACCAACAGAAUAAGCACCGGCUAACUUCGUG
rnacentral:rRNA from 1 species